UCUACAAAUUCGUAGGGAUCAGAAGAUCUUUAAGAAAGUAUUAUCCUGUGGCUAGACAAUCUUCGAAAUCUGAAUGCAGUGACUGUUGCAUGAGACUUUCAUCCUCCGAUGCUCUUAACCACCAACUAGUGGUCCAUGGAACAGGACAAGCUACAGACAAAUCAACUUACCAACAAAGCCUUCAAAUAUCUGGAACAACUCCCACAGAAGAACUCUGCAGCAUAGUUCCUUGUAGCAAUGAACUGUCUAGCAUAUCUGCAGUUUCAGCAAUAUAUCUGUCAGACAUCUUUAAGGAAUAUGAACAGUUUUCAGAUUGUGAAUUUGGGAUUGCUGCACAACAGAUGUCUGAGGUAUCACUGCAAGAAAUACACUUUGAUGAACAGAGAGUGUUAGAAGACAGACAUGGACCUCCAAAAUUAUCUCCCAAGUCAUCCAGUGAAUCAGCAGUCAGAGUUCCAUCACCUCCACAGAAAGUUGAGUCCCACCAUCUGAGAGACCGCAUACAUG